UCCUACUGAGGUUUGAAGAGUUUCUUCAACUGAUUCUGAGGGUUUACCUUUGAUAUUUUACGUCAAAAUUAGGGGACACACAGAGUCCUCCUUUUCAGCUGUCUUCCUACGUGUUGAACAAUCUGCUCAUUUUCUUCUCCUCCAACUCCUCUGUAUAAUGAAGAAAUGACCUCUCCAUCCACAGGGAUGUGGCAGAUAUGACGCAUGCAUUCAGGUCAGCAGUGCAAAUCUCCGACACGGCCAUUUUUCUCAUCGGGAAAAUGUUUGUCAGCCCCUUGACCAACUUAUUUGGAGAUCUUGGCAACGAAGGGGCUGUUAAGCAAAUGGCACAGAAACCUCUGCUUCUCUUUGAAAGAGACUGCUUUUGAAGGGACAUGAAACUGCAAAAAUACCGGCUUGUAUUAGAAUAUAAAUUCACGUUAAAUGUGUUUUCAGGAAAAGACGAAAAUUGAAGAGAAACCUGAAGUCAUUUCAAGACUGAUGCUGAGCUAUCCUAUCACUCAUUUCCCUGGAACUUAGGCUGAUGAGACAAAGUAUCUCUUCCGUUGUCACAAUUUUCUCUAGGUUAUUUCUGAAAAGGUUUACUCUGGCUUCAGGCAUGGGAAAACAGCAACAACAAAACCUUGUUCUCCAUGUCACUAAGCCAAAAAUUCAAUCUCAAGUUGUUUACAUUCUCAAUUUCCUUAAAAUAUUGGGAUCAUAUAUAGUUCUUUAUUCUGCAUAUUUUCACUUAUUAUAUCAGGGACGUUCCCCAAGUUCUUAAACACUCUUCUAAAAUACUUUAAUGGCUUUGAAAUAUUCUUUCAGUUGAGUGUACCAUUAUUUGUUUAACCAGUCCUCUAUUUUUGGGCAUACAGUUAUUUUUUGUAAUUUUUUACCACUAAAUAAUGCUGUCAUAAUAAUGCCAAAUAAUAUCCAUAUAUAUAUGUAUUUUUUUCUUUCAUCUCAUCUCUGAUCAUGUUGUUAACAUAAAUUUCCUUAAGUAUAAUCGCUGGGCCAAGGAAUAGGAGCACCUUUGAGGACUUCUCUCCACAGACUAGCAUGCUAAAUUGUUCUAUGCCUAUUUCCCACGUGUAAAAUGUUUGGUGACACUGCUUGAAGGUUUCUAUGAGAAAACCCAUUAUCAAAUUGACUGGAAGCAGCAAUUUCUGUUAUCAAAGUAAAUCUAUUGUUAUCAUUA